GACGAACGCUGGCGGCGUGCCUAAUACAUGCAAGUAGAACGCUGAAGGAGGAGCUUGCUUCUCUGGAUGAGUUGCGAACGGGUGAGUAACGCGUAGGUAACCUGCCUGGUAGCGGGGGAUAACUAUUGGAAACGAUAGCUAAUACCGCAUAAGAGUAGAUGUUGCAUGACAUUUGCUUAAAAGGUGCAAUUGCAUCACUACCAGAUGGACCUGCGUUGUAUUAGCUAGUUGGUGGGGUAACGGCUCACCAAGGCGACGAUACAUAGCCGACCUGAGAGGGGGAGCGGCCACACUGGGACUGAGACACGGCCCAGACUCCUACGGGAGGCAGCAGUAGGGAAUCUUCGGCAAUGGACGGAAGUCUGACCGAGCAACGCCGCGUGAGUGAAGAAGGUUUUCGGGUCGUAAAGCUCUGUUGUAAGAGAAGAACGAGUGUGAGAGUGGAAAGUUCACACUGUGACGGUAUCUUACCAGAAAGGGACGGCUAACUACGUG
rnacentral:rRNA from 1 species